AUUGCGUAGGGCACGGUUGGCACGUCGCACUUGUUGGGUGCGACGGAACACCCGUUGUUGUAACGAACGACGCAGGGCCA
rnacentral:tRNA from 1 species